rnacentral:rRNA from 1 species
GACGAACGAUGGCGGCGUGCCUAAUACAUGCAAGUUGAGCGCUGAAGGUUGGUACUUGUACCAACUGGAUGAGCAGCGAACGGGUGAGUAACGCGUGGGGAAUCUGCCUUUGAGCGGGGGACAACAUUUGGAAACGAAUGCUAAUACCGCAUAAAAACUUUAAACACAAGUUUUAAGUUUGAAAGAUGCAAUUGCAUCACUCAAAGAUGAUCCCGCGUUGUAUUAGCUAGUUGGUGAGGUAAAGGCUCACCAAGGCGAUGAUACAUAGCCGACCUGAGAGGGUGAUCGGCCACAUUGGGACUGAGACACGGCCCAAACUCCUACGGGAGGCAGCAGUAGGGAAUCUUCGGCAAUGGACGAAAGUCUGACCGAGCAACGCCGCGUGAGUGAAGAAGGUUUUCGGAUCGUAAAACUCUGUUGGUAGAGAAGAACGUUGGUGAGAGUGGAAAGCUCAUCAAGUGACGGUAACUACCCAGAAAGGGACGGCUAACUACGUG